rnacentral:rRNA from 1 species
CAUAUGCGGCGGCCUAACACAUGCGAGUCGAGCGGUAACAGGGGUAGCUUGCUACCCGCUGACGAGCGGCGGACGGGUGAGUAACGCAUAGGAAUUUACCCGGUAGUGGGGGAUAACCUGGGGAAACCCAGGCUAAUACCGCAUACGUCCUACGGGAGAAAGGGGGCUUUGGCUCCCGCUAUCGGAUGAGCCUAUGCCGGAUUAGCUGGUUGGUGAGGUAAUGGCUCACCAAGGCGACGAUCCGUAGCUGGUCUGAGAGGAUGAUCAGCCACAUCGGGACUGAGACACGGCCCGAACUCCUACGGGAGGCAGCAGUGGGGAAUAUUGGACAAUGGGGGCAACCCUGAUCCAGCCAUGCCGCGUGUGUGAAGAAGGCCCUCGGGUUGUAAAGCACUUUCAGCGAGGAAGAACGCCUAUCGGUUAAUACCCGGUAGGAAAGACAUCACUCGCAGAAGAAGCACCGGCUAACUCCGUGCCAGCAGCCGCGGUAAUACGGAGGGUGCAAGCGUUAAUCGGAAUUACUGGGCGUAAAGCGCGCGUAGGUGGCUUGAUAAGCCGGUUGUGAAAGCCCCGGGCUCAACCUGGGAACGGCAUCCGGAACUAUCAGGCUAGAGUGCAGGAGAGGAAGGUAGAAUUCCCGGUGUAGCGGUGAAAUGCGUAGAGAUCGGGAGGAAUACCAGUGGCGAAGGCGGCCUUCUGGACUGACACUGACACUGAGGUGCGAAAGCGUGGGUAGCAAACAGGAUUAGAUACCCUGGUAGUCCACGCCGUAAACGAUGUCGACCAGCCGUUGGGUGCCUAGCGCACUUUGUGGCGAAGUUAACGCGAUAAGUCGACCGCCUGGGGAGUACGGCCGCAAGGUUAAAACUCAAAUGAAUUGACGGGGGCCCGCACAAGCGGCGGAGCAUGUGGCU